rnacentral:rRNA from 1 species
UACGGAGGAUGCGAGCGUUAUCCGGAUUUAUUGGGUUUAAAGGGUGCGUAGGCGGCUUUUUAAGUCAGCGGUGAAAUUUUGCAGCUUAACUGUAACAGUGCCGUUGAUACUGGGGAGCUAGGAUUUGGUUGCUGUGGGUGGAAUGUGUGGUGUAGCGGUGAAAUGCUUAGAGAUCACACAGAAUAUCGAUUGCGAAGGCAGCACACAAAGCCAAGAUUGACGCUGAGGCACGAAAGUGUGGGGAUCAAACAGGAUUA